rnacentral:rRNA from 1 species
UGGUAGUNCACGCCGUAAACGAUGAGUGCUAGGUGUUAGACCCUUUCCGGGGUUUAGUGCCGCAGCUAACGCAUUAAGCACUCCGCCUGGGGAGUACGACCGCAAGGUUGAAACUCAAAGGAAUUGACGGGGGCCCGCACAAGCGGUGGAGCACGUGGUUUAAUUCGAAGCAACGCGAAGAACCUUACCAGGUCUUGACAUCCCUCUGACCGCUCUAGAGAUAGAGUUUUCNUUCGGGACAGAGGUGACAGGUGGUGCAUGGUUGUCGUCAGCUCGUGUCGUGAGAUGUUGGGUUAAGUCCCGCAACGAGCGCAACCCCUAUUGUUAGUUGCCAUCAUUCAGUUGGGCACUCUAGCGAGACUGCCGGUAAUAAACCGGAGGAAGGUGGGGAUGACGUCAAAUCAUCAUGCCCCUUAUGACCUGGGCUACACACGUGCUACAAUGGCUGGUACAACGAGUCGCAAGCCGGUGACGGCAAGCUAAUCUCUUAAAGCCAGUCUCAGUUCGGAUUGUAGGCUGCAACUCGCCUACAUGAAGUCGGAAUCGCUAGUAAUCGCGGAUCAGCACGCCGCGGUGAAUACGUUCCCGGGCCUUGUNC